AAUAUAUUAUUUAUAACUGUAAUGUGCAGGGAUCAUAACUAGACAAGGACUCGUAUCAGGCGAGCUAUUCGGUCCCCAUGGUACAUUACUUUUUUUUCUUGACACAGUCUUUUAGCGAGAUCGACUGAUCAGAUAUGAGAUUUUUGCUGACUUUACGUAAUCAGAUGGCAAACAUGAUAUAAUCAAUUAGCUUCAGUUGGACCCUAUUUGCACAAACUGUUUUCUAUUCCUUUAGGUUUGCUUGUUAUAAAAUCAAAUAGCUGCCAGCAAACGUCAAUGAUACGGGGUAAUACGGGCUACGAAAUUGUUGAAAUCGAUCUUUCCUUUUUGAAGACAAAACAAGAUAAACUGCACCAAAUCCGUCAGAAUCUUAAUAUCUUUCUUUUAAAAAAUUUAAAAAAAAUAUAUGUCAUUUAAAUCUAGCCAUAUUUUUUAUGUGCAAAAUUGUCACAAUGAAAUUUUUGUCGCAUUUCAAAAAAAGUUGCCGAUCGAUGUUUUAGAGAAAUAUUGAUGCAACCCAAUCACAUGCAUAGGUUCGUGUUUCUGUAUAACUGUACAUAUUUUGAUGUUUUCGUGAACACUUCAAUGAUAAACUUUUUUUAAAAAAUCUUUGCUAUUAUUACUCUGACCUGUUUGUUUAAAUUAUACACUAUAAUACCUGUUUUUCUUACAAUCAUCUUUGGCUACAAGUGUUUCUUAACGUAAUGAGAUAAAGGGGCAAAAUGGAGAGAUAAUUUAGAUAGAAAACGUAUGAGACCAAGGGGUGGAGGUUGAUUUCUUUAAUUAUGCACUUCUUUUAAUGUCUGAUAUUCUUAAUUGGUUGAUGAAUCUGGAUGCAAAAAAGAAAAAAAAAUUGCCAACAUCUGCAAUGUGCAGGUUUCAUUGCGAUACAAAUUCCAUACGCAUCGUUUCAAGCGGCCAAACAGAUUAUCUCGUUUUAUCUUUCAUCGCGUGUAUUACAUACAGCGUACAUCCGCUUAUCUUGGCAUGGUGUAAGAAUUCGAAGAAAUAUAUGCCUGUCAGACAGGAGGAUUUGGAGAGGGGAUGUCCAAAAGAAAACGUCCAAGACAUUCUUUCUCCUCGUGAUGCAAUGCCGUCUGCACUAGCGAUACUCAUCUUCCCAGCAUUCCACUGGAGAUCCUGCUCGUCUGCCAUGACAAGAUCUCGUGUGAUGAGGUGGAGCACUGGUUGACAGUCUGCAUCAUGUGUUCUGUGUACUCAAUAAUAUACAUGUACUACAUGUGUACACACUCAAGUUGAUAUGAACAGCAUAUUGAAGAGACUGAGUUAAAUUAUCCCAUCAUUUCUUACUUUAAUACAAUGAUCGAAACAAAAUAAAUUGAAACUGAAGCUAGUC